ACGAACGCUGGCGGCGUGCUUAACCCAUGCAAGUCGAACGGAAAGGCCCCUUUGGGGGUACUCGAGUGGCGAACGGGUGAGUAACACGUGAGUAACCUGCCCUUGACUUCGGGAUAACUUCAGGAAACUGGGGCUAAUACCGGAUAGGAAUCCUUGCUGCAUGGUGGGGGUUGGAAAGCUUCGGCGGGUUUGGAUGGACUCGCGGCUUAUCAGCUUGUUGGUGGGGUAGUGGCUUACCAAGGCUUUGACGGGUAGCCGGCCUGAGAGGGCGACCGGCCACAGUGGGACUGAGAUACGGCCCAGACUCCUACGGGAGGCAGCAGGGGGGAAGAUUGCACAAUGGGCGGAAGCCUGAUGCAGCAACGCCGCGUGCGGGAGGACGGCCUUCGGGUUGUAAACCGCUUUCAGCAGGGGCGAAGCUUGUGGUGACGGUACCUGCAGAAGAAGCACCGGCUAACUACGUG
rnacentral:rRNA from 1 species